GUCUAUGGCCAUGCCACCCUGAACAAGGCUGAUCCCAUCUGAUCUUGGAAGCUAAGCAAGUUCGGGCCUGGUUAGUACUUAGAUGGGACAUCGCCUAGGAUGACCAGGUGCUGUAGGUG
rnacentral:rRNA from 1 species